AUUUUAGCCAGGGCAUCUGGGUACCCCCCCCCACCCCCACUCUACUCUUACAAAAGAUGCCCAGGGACCUUUGAUGACCUCAGAGAGUCAGGACCUCGGUUUUACGUAUAAAAGUACGUCAUUCAGUUGUUGCUCAGGGCUAUCGUGGACCUCAGCCAGGAAGCAAGAGGCACAGCGGUGGGCAGAAGCCGCUGGAAAAUGAUCCGUGCGUCCAUAUGGAAGCAAGGCUGGCAGGCUCGUUGGACGAGUAUAUAUAGAUUGGAGGUGGUCAUUAUGGCAUCCUGACAGAAGACAAGAUUCCAGUUGCUUUCACUGAUGCACAGGGCUCUGGUUUAUUUCACACAAGUCAACUCUCCUUCGGCUGGUCUUGGAUCCGCAGGCUGUACAGGACUAGCGGCUAAAAUCCAUACAAAUUGAAAAGAAGUGCAUGAGUGGUUCUUAUUCAGGAGUGAUAUUCUGGGUGUUUUCUAAAGACAGCUUUUCCAUUUUACGUGAUGUUCUACAGGAAGGUUGUGAUCUAUCUGGUUAAAGGAGAUAAUGCAACAUUCGAGCUCAGUUUUUAUUUCCCAGAUAGUAGUGAAGUGUAAUAUCUGCCCUUCCAUCAAUUUCCAACCACUUAUUCAGUACAGGAGAGCCAGAAGCCUGCAGUCAAUCUGAGGAAGCAGAGCUGGGGAGCGGCUGGACAGAAUGGCAGUCCAGUACAGCACGCACACACCAGUGGCGGAGCCAGGAAAUAUUCAGUGGGGUAGCUGGGGCGGGACCAGAGGUCAUUUUGGGGCGGCACAUAAAUCAAAAUAUGAAUAUAAGGCAUCUAGAAAAUAAGGGAACAUUUAAGGCACAUAGACGCUAUAACUCUACAUUGUUUAUUAUUCAGGCAGUGGUGGAAUUAUCAAAUAAACAUUUAAUUUAAAUUCAAUUCCUUGCAGUUAAGGUAACAAGCGUACACUAAGCACAAGAUUCCCAAACGUCUGCAUUGCUGCCGUUCUGAGAGCAUGUUUAGCUCAGCUGUGCAGUGAGUUUAUUCCUUAUCAGUACAGUAAAUCAUGAACAGAGAAACAGGUACGGAGUAAAAGCAGUUUUUAAGUCAAAGUCUGAGUUAACCACAAAAAAGCAAAUAUGAAAGGGGUGGCCAAAGGGGGGGACAGAUUUCAGUCUAGGAGAACCACGGCCGGCUCUUGCCCCCCCGCUCCACGUAUGGCACACACAUUCACACUCUGGCCAAUUUAAAGUAUUAAUGUAAAUUUAUCAAGCUUCUCUGAGUUCCUGACCUGAGAGACCUGUCUUUUAUUGAUUUUGUUGUACAGGCAUUUCUUAGUAGAACAGCAAAUAUCACCACUACACCUAAAUCAUUUCUUCUAGUUGCCAGUUAUUACGUCUGAGUUUGUACGCAAAGUUCAUUUUGUACUUUAAAACGAUGCAUUAGAUUAGAUCAUGGAUAUUACAUUUGGAGAGACUACUCAUAGUGCAAAUCAGACCACGGUCUUUGUAGUUACACCGUGACCUGUUAUACAUUAAGUUUUUUAACAGUCUUUAUUUUUAUCAGCUGAGAGUAUCGUGUUUUGGGCUUCCAUUCUGUUUAUGCAGCGUGUGAAUAAUUUAAAGAGCAGAAUUUCACUACUGCCAGCUCCCCGCUUAUUACAGACAGCAGCAGAGCAGACUUUGGAGCCGAUGUAAGAUAUUAUCGUCACACUCUUAGGUAUAAAUCUGAUUUAUAUUCAAAGCUGACAUUUCAUUGUUUUGUUUUCUCUUCAGCUGGGGCGUAGAGUCCUGCAGUACACGCAAACAUUAAUUACACACGGUAAAACGAAAACCAAUAAAGGAAUGCAGCAAAACAUAAUGAUUUUAAAGCGACUUGCCUUUGGCAGAUUAAACUCAUUUUUAGUUUCAGGAAAAAAAAAUCAUGUUCUGUAAAUAGAGUUUGCAG